UGAAACUUGACCGUUGCCUGUCUCGUGA
rnacentral:sRNA from 1 species